UGGGGAAUAUUGCGCAAUGGGGGAAACCCUGACGCAGCGACGCCGUGUGAGGGAAGAAGGCUUUCGGGUCGUAAACCUCUGUCAGGAAGGAAGAACCUCUCAAGGCUGAACAAGCCUUGGGACUGACGGUACUUCCAGAGGAAGCACCGGCUAACUCCGUGCCAGCAGCCGCGGUAAUACGGAGGGUGCAAGCGUUAAUCGGAAUCACUGGGCGUAAAGCGCGCGUAGGCCGUCUUUUAAGUAGGACGUGAAAGCCCUCGGCUCAACCGGGGAAGUGCGUUCGAUACUGGGGGGCUUGAGUACUGGAGAGGGUGGCGGAAUUCCGGGUGGAGGAGUGGAAUCCGUAGAUAUCCGGAGGAACACCGGUGGCGGAGGCGGCCACCUGGGCAGGUACUGACGCUGAGGCG
rnacentral:rRNA from 1 species